GUGGGGAAUAUUGGACAAUGGGCGAAAGCCUGAUCCAGCCAUGCCGCGUGUGUGAAGAAGGUCUUCGGAUUGUAAAGCACUUUAAGUUGGGAGGAAGGGCAGUAAGUUAAUACCUUGCUGUUUUGACGUUACCGACAGAAUAAGCACCGGCUAACUUCGUGCCAGCAGCCGCGGUAAUACGAAGGGUGCAAGCGUUAAUCGGAAUUACUGGGCGUAAAGCGCGCAGAGGUGGUUUUGUAAGUUGGAGGUGAAAUCCCCGGGCUCAACCUGGGAACUGCCUCCCAAACUGCAUGACUAGAGUACGGUAGAGGGUAGUGGAAUUUCCUGUGUAGCGGUGAAAUGCGUAGAUAUAGGAAGGAACACCAGUGGCGAAGGCGACUACCUGGACUGAUACUGACACUGAGGUGCGAAAGCGUGGGGAGCAAACAGGAUUAGAAACCCUGGUAGUCC
rnacentral:rRNA from 1 species